rnacentral:rRNA from 1 species
ACGCUCGACACCUACGGGAGCAGCAGUGGGGAAUAUUGCACAAUGGGGGAAACCCUGAUGCAGCGACGCCGCGUGAGUGAAGAAGUAUUUCGGUAUGUAAAGCUCUAUCAGCAGGGAAGAAGAUGACGGUACCUGAGUAAGAAGCCCCGGCUAACUACGUGCUAGCGGCGCGGUAAUCUGAGGCGGGCUGGCAAGGC